rnacentral:rRNA from 1 species
GACGAGCCGUCCAAACGUUAUUCGGAAUCACUGGGCUUAAAGGGCGCGUAGGCGGCCGAGCGGGUCGCGGGUGAAAUCCUCCAGCUUAACUGGAGAACUGCCCUCGAUACCACUGCGGCUCGAGGAAGGAAGGGCAAUCGGAACUGUCGGUGGAGCGGUGAAAUGCGUUGAUAUCGACAGGAACGCCGGUGGCGAAAGCGGAUUGCUGGUCCUUUCUGACGCUGAUGCGCGAAAGCCAGGGGAGCAAACGGG